rnacentral:rRNA from 1 species
AUUGAACGCUGGCGGCAUGCCUUACACAUGCAAGUCGAACGGUAACAGGUCUUCGGAUGCUGACGAGUGGCGAACGGGUGAGUAAUACGUCGGAACGUGCCUAGUAGUGGGGGAUAACUACUCGAAAGAGUGGCUAAUACCGCAUGAGAUCUACGGAUGAAAGCAGGGGAUCGCAAGACCUUGUGCUACUAGAGCGGCCGAUGGCAGAUUAGGUAGUUGGUGGGAUAAAAGCUUACCAAGCCGACGAUCUGUAGCUGGUCUGAGAGGACGAUCAGCCACACUGGGACUGAGACACGGCCCAGACUCCUGCGGGAGGCAGCAGUGGGGAAUUUUGGACAAUGGGCGAAAGCCUGAUCCAGCAAUGCCGCGUGCAGGAUGAAGGCCUUCGGGUUGUAAACUGCUUUUGUACGGAACGAAAAGCCCUGGGUUAAUACCCUGGGGUCAUGACGGUACCGUAAGAAUAAGCACCGGCUAACUACGUGCCAGCAGCCGCGGUAA